rnacentral:rRNA from 1 species
AUUGAACGCUGGCGGCAGGCCCAACACAUGCAAGUCGAACGGUAACAGGAAGAAGCUUGCUUCUUUGCUGACGAGUGGCGGACGGGUGAGUAAUGUCUGGGAAACUGCCUGAUGGAGGGGGAUAACUACUGGAAACGGUAGCUAAUACCGCAUAAUGUCGCAAGACCAAAGAGGGGGACCUUCGGGCCUCUUGCCAUCGGAUGUGCCCAGAUGGGAUUAGCUAGUAGGUGGGGUAACGGCUCACCUAGGCGACGAUCCCUAGCUGGUCUGAGAGGAUGACAAGCCACACUGGAACUGAGACACGGUCCAGACUCCUACGGGAGGCAGCAGUGGGGAAUAUUGCACAAUGGGCGCAAGCCUGAUGCAGCUAUGCCGCGUGUAUGAAGAAGGCCUUCGGGUUGUAAAGUACUUUCAGCGGGGAGGAAGGGAGUAAAGUUAAUACCUUUGCUCAUUGACGUUACCCGCAGAAGAAGCACCGGCUAACUCCGUG